CAGGGGGGUGGGGCCGGGGCAUGGGCCACACAAGGCCCUGAAACCCAGCCAGGCCCCGCGGGGCUCCUGGGCUCUUAAGCCCUUCUGUGUCCCCAUUUCUUGGUUAAAGGAAAGAGGCUUCAUUCAGCCCGAAUGACCUUCCCUGAGUUCCAACAGAGGUGCUGCCUGGACCAGACUUUUGGAAAGCAUCAAAGGAAAAUAUCAUCAAGCCCCAAGUGAAUAUACUGCAUCUUAAGAAGUCCGUAAUUCCCUGGUUUGCUGCUGCUGCUGCUGCUAAGUCAUGUCAGUUGUGUCCGACUCUGUGCGACCCCAUGG